CUCAUAGUCGCUCUUGUAUGUUUCGGCGAGCCGCCCAAGUUCCGCCGUGAUGGAGCGGCCGAUCUCGAACAUCUGGUUGCGCAGAUUAACGGCCGCCUGGUGGUUCGGGCCAUAUUUCGCGGACAAAUCCGCCUCGCGAUUGGAAAUGUCGAGGUAUUGGCUGCGAAGCUUGCUGACAACAUCGCUACGUAAUGUAUCGGUCACGGUGGCUNGCAUUAUCUGGUCGAUACGAUCCAGCCGCGCACGCGCUUCGGCGGUCUGCGUCCGCGCCGC
rnacentral:misc_RNA from 1 species